UCGGGAACUUUGGGCAAUGGGCGAAAGCCUGACCCAGCAACGCCGCGUGAGGGAUGAAGUAUUUCGGUAUGUAAACCUCGAAAGAAUGGGAAGAAUAAAUGACGGUACCAUUUAUAAGCUCCGGCUAACUACGUGCCAGCAGCCGCGGUAAUACGUAGGGAGCAAGCGUUGUUCGGAUUUACUGGGCGUAAAGGGCGCGUAGGCGGCGCGGUAAGUCACUUGUGAAAUCUCUGAGCUUAACUCAGAACGGCCAAGUGAUACUGCUGUGCUAGAGUGCGGAAGAGGCAACCGGAAUUCUUGGUGUAGCGGUGAAAUGCGUAGAUAUCAAGAGGAACACCUGAGGCGAAGGCGGGUUGCUGGGCCGACACUGACGCUGAUGCGCGAAAGCCAGGGGAGCAAACG
rnacentral:rRNA from 1 species